rnacentral:rRNA from 1 species
AACGAACGCUGGCGGCAUGCCUAACACAUGCAAGUCGAACGAGACCUUCGGGUCUAGUGGCGCACGGGUGCGUAACGCGUGGGAACCUGCCCUUAGGUUCGGAAUAACUCCCCGAAAGGGGUGCUAAUACCGGAUAAUGUCUUCGGACCAAAGAUUUAUCGCCUUUGGAUGGGCCCGCGUUGGAUUAGCUAGUUGGUAGGGUAAAAGCCUACCAAGGCGACGAUCCAUAGCUGGUCUGAGAGGAUGAUCAGCCACACUGGGACUGAGACACGGCCCAGACUCCUACGGGAGGCAGCAGUGGGGAAUAUCGGACAAUGGGCGAAAGCCUGAUCCAGCAAUGCCGCGUGAGUGAUGAAGGCCUUAGGGUUGUAAAGCUCUUUUACCCGGGAUGAUAAUGACAGUACCGGGAGAAUAAGCUCCGGCUAACUCCGU